rnacentral:rRNA from 1 species
AUUGAACGCUGGCGGCAGGCCUAACACAUGCAAGUCGAGCGCGAAAAUUCCUUCGGGAAUGAUUAGAGCGGCGGACGGGUGAGUAACGCGUAGGAAUCUGCCCGGUAGUGGGGGACAACAGUCGGAAACGACUGCUAAUACCGCAUACGCCCUAAGGGGGAAAGCAGGGGAUCUUCGGACCUUGCGCUAUCGGAUGAGCCUGCGUCGGAUUAGCUUGUUGGUGGGGUAAUGGCCUACCAAGGCGACGAUCCGUAGCUGGUCUGAGAGGAUGAUCAGCCACACUGGGACUGAGACACGGCCCAG